CCUUCACUGAUGAUCCAGCGUGAUGACUUUCGUUCUUCUGAGCGUGCUGAAGCCAGGUCUUUGAUCUGAGGAGG
ensembl:snoRNA SNORD59A small nucleolar RNA, C/D box 59A